GUCCCUGUAGCACAAUGAAUAGCGCGUUGGACUUCUAAUCCAAUGGGCAUGGGUUCGAAUCCCAUCUGGAAUG
rnacentral:tRNA from 1 species